rnacentral:tRNA from 1 species
GCCUGGGUAGCUCAAUCGGUAGAGCGUGUGACUCUUAACCAAGGGAUUAUCUCAAGGUCGCGGGUUCGAGCCCCGCCUCGGGCU